rnacentral:rRNA from 1 species
CGGAUGUUUGAGACCGGCGCACGGGUGCGUAACGCGUGAGCAACCUACCUCUGUCAGGGGGAUAGCCCGGCGAAAGUCGGAUUAACACCGCAUGACAUUAUUGAUGUGGCAUCACAUUAUAAUCAAAUAUUUAUAGGACAGAGAUGGGCUCGCGUGACAUUAGCUAGUUGGAGAGGUAACGGCUCACCAAGGCAACGAUGUCUAGGGGCUCUGAGAGGAGAAUCCCCCACACUGGUACUGAGACACGGACCAGACUCC